rnacentral:lncRNA from 1 species
UUGCAAUCCUGAACAAAUUCAAACAAUUAACCGGCUGUUGAAAAGACGGAGCGGGUCUGUGCGACUGGUUUUAGAAGUAUCAUUGCAGCGUUUAUUUUCUAAAGGGCUGGAUGUUUUUUGCGACCAUCUGUUGUGUUAAAAACUACUCUGAAACCAUGAAACCCCUUACGGAAGAAAUUCCCGUUUGAUCCGUUUUUAAAAUAAAAGGCACGCAUCGCUGCAUGCUGGGACAUCAGAAUCACAAUAUAAGUGUGAUUAAAACACAUGUAGUUUGAAAAGAGUGAUACUGGCUGCUUUGGGGAAAAGGUGACAUCGUGUGCAACGUGUUUUAGAAGCCCAAUAACUUCUAUUUUCUAAAGGGGGUGAAUGUUAUUUGUGACCAUUUACUGUGUUAAAAAACUAGCUUGCUCCGUCUCCCUCUUAGUUCAACAUUCCGAAAUCCCGAUUUUUAAAUAAAAUGAUCGCAUCAACUCGUGAAAGAAACCCCAGUAGAUGCGUAAAAACUAGUUAGAUUAAAACUAGUGGUUGAUUAAAUGAAACUGUCAGGUUUUGCAUUGUUGAUUGUCAUUUAUGCUUAGAAAUAUCUACUCAUAUAUGCUUAGAGUUUUAUAAUUAGUUGUAGAUUGGUAGAGGUUUGAUCCUUAAUAGUCUGCAAACUUUGUGUGCAUUCCAGAGUGCUUUGGGAGCAUGGGAGAGGUUGUACCUUGUCUUAUUGUUUUAUGGUAGGAUAAAUGUGUCUAUAUCUGUUUUAGUCUAAGUGCCUUUUGUUUAGAUGGACGGCUUUGGGGAGUCUUCCUGGGGUCACAUCUUGACCCCCCACACACACAGAUACACACACACACACACAAGGUAUAGGGCUUUGGAGCGUGAUGUCACGGGAGCUGGGCCACGCCCCCUUUCGCCAUGACAGUAGGCCAGACACAGGAUACAGCUUCAGCUAUGGCAACGUGAGGGAUCCCAUGUAUCCGAUAUUACUAAACAAAGACGUCAGGCUUGCAUUGCAGCGGUGA